rnacentral:piRNA from 1 species
UAGCAGGAUGUUUUUUGGAUUCAGGUCUC